AAAACGACUCUCUCGCAACGGAUAUCUCGGCUCGCAUCGAUGAAGAACGUAGCGAAAUGCGAUACUUGGUGUGAAUUGCAGUGCAAUCCCGUGAACCAUCGAGUCUUUGAACGCAAGUUGCGCCCCAAGCCUUCUGGCCGAGGGCACGCUCUGCCUGGGUGUCACAA
rnacentral:rRNA from 1 species